rnacentral:rRNA from 1 species
UACGUAGGGACCGAGCGUUGUCCGGAUUCAUUGGGCGUAAAGAGCUCGUAGGCGGCCACUCAAGUCGAAUGUGAAACCUCGAGGCUUAACCUCGAGCCUGCAUUCGAUACUGGGUGGCUAGAUGUCUGGUAGGGGGAGUCUGGAAUUCCUGGUGUAGCGGUGGAAUGCGCAGAUAUCAGGAGGAACACCGGUGGCGAAGGCGGGAUCCUGGGC